GGGCGCAGGCCCGGCCCAGGGCCCCGCCACCCCCGCCCCAGCACCUCAGCCCACCCCACCCCGCACCUUUCUCUCUUUUUCUCCCCAAAUAACGACAGACCUCCCCAGAGGGCACCCACCCGCCCCGACUCCCGGCUGUCACCCGCAGGGAGGUGCUCUGAUCGGCUGCAGCCCCGCGGAGCGACCCCGACCCCGGGUUGUGUAACCAGCCCCGCUCCGGCUGCGAGCGAAGCCCAUCGCUGUUUACCUUGCGGUGGCGACCUUUGAAGACCACAGCAAAGGCUCCGUGUCCUAUCAGGUCCUUCUUGCUGUACUCAAAGUCCCCCACCACCUCCAUCAUCCCUCAGCGGGGCAUGAAGCCCCGGGAAGGAAAGAAGAUGGAUGCAACACAGCCUUCACUGUCAGCAAGAACCAGCUGGAGAAAGAACCUCCAGGAUAUUGAGCUCUUCCCAAAAGAUCCCAUGAAGACAGAGCCUGCUGACUUGGCUGGCAGAAACAGACACUAACAAGAGGAACCACAACUUUGUGCUCUCUGUUAUAUUAAAGGUUUAAGCCUUUCUUCCA